AAGCACGGGCACAGGCGGCAGGUUACCCUCCCAGAGCUGCCAGCGCUCAGACCCUCGCUGAAAUCACGCCGCCCGCAAGCCAACUCUGGGUUUGUCUUUCUUCUCAUCGGCACAGCGAGAGCCUGAAUCCGAGGCAGAGUAAAUAAAGCAAAACCAGCAACCCCUUAAGCAAGGAUCAGGCGGACCCCCCGGCCAGCAAGCAGCAAGCCAUCCCUGGGGUUCACUGACGCCACGCGCGAGAUAAUGGAGAAAAGCCAACCUGGAGGAAUCACCACGCCGAAGCCCUGCAGCUGCAGGAGCACUUUGUCUCAGCAUCCAGCC